CAGACGUGUCAGCGAAUAAAUAAUUUUAAAAAAAAUAAAGAAAAAGAAAAACGCGUUAUUAUUAAUCUUAUACGUAAUUUGAAACAAAAACUCUAAUAAUUAAUGCGGUUUUUAUGUUUAAGUUUUUGUUUUUCGUCUGGUUCGAGUUAAUUAGACGACCGUAGACUCGCAAUGACAAACGGUACAGUAAUCCAUACAUGUAUCAUUAUUAAGCCGAUGACGACGUUGUAAAAUGUUUUCACCAUUUUUAACUAACCGCG